rnacentral:rRNA from 1 species
GAUGAACGCUGGCGGCGUGCCUAAUACAUGCAAGUCGAGCGAACAGACGAGGAGCUUGCUCCUCUGACGUUAGCGGCGGACGGGUGAGUAACACGUGGAUAACCUACCUAUAAGACUGGGAUAACUUCGGGAAACCGGAGCUAAUACCGGAUAAUAUAUUGAACCGCAUGGUUCAAUAGUGAAAGACGGUUUUGCUGUCACUUAUAGAUGGAUCCGCGUCGCAUUAGCUAGUUGGUAAGGUAACGGCUUACCAAGGCGACGAUGCGUAGCCGACCUGAGAGGGUGAUCGGCCACACUGGAACAGAGACACGGUCCAGACUCCUACGGGAGGCAGCAGUAGGGAAUCUUCCGCAAUGGGCGAAAGCCUGACGGAGCAACGCCGCGUGAGUGAUGAAGGUCUUCGGAUCGUAAAACUCUGUUAUUAGGGAAGAACAAAUGUGUAAGUAACUAUGCACGUCUUGACGGUACCUAAUCAGAAAGCCACGGCUAACUACGUG